CAUGAGAAUGUUGCAUGAGAGAUUGGUGCUGAAAAUUCUCCAACAAUCCGCUGCUUUUUGCAUUCAAGCUUUGUUGUUUCAUAUAUGGCAAGCUGAGUCUCAUGUACCAUAAGGAAGUGGAUCUGGUCCUGGUGAAAUUGAACUUGGGUGUUUGACAUUGCCACAGGCGUCUUCCCUGCUGGAAUUUGCACCGAAGUGUUCUUUUGUCUUUCCCAAUUGUCAGAGCUCCACAAAAUAAUCUGAGCAUCAGCCCCAGAGGAAACAAGCACAUUCAGCACAUGGGAGAAGGCAAGGCCAGUAAUUCUCUUAGAGUGGCCCUUAAGCUUGCACUUAAUCUCAUCCACGCGAACAUUAUAAAUGUGUAUUGUGGAAUCAUCCAUGCCUACUGCAAUUAUAUUAUUAUCUUGAGGAUGGAAAGCAAGAUAUGUUGCCGCAGGUGGCGGAGACAUGAAUGUUGUCAUUGUCUUAAAUGUCAUGGUGUUGAACAAGGAAAUUUUCCCUCCAGAU
rnacentral:misc_RNA from 1 species